rfam:Streptococcus henryi strain A-4 genome assembly, contig: IE83DRAFT_scaffold00045.45
AUAUCCUUUAAUACUGUCCCGUGAGGCAGGCAAGGAGAGAACAAGAAAAAAGUGUGCAGGUAGCCAUAGCUGUACCCCUAUUUUGUGGAAUCUCCUUGUUAUCAGGGAGAUUUUUUCUAU